rnacentral:rRNA from 1 species
AGCAGCCGCGGUAAUUCCAGCUCCAAUAGCGUAUAUUAAAGUUGUUGCAGUUAAAAAGCUCGUAGUUGAACUUCAGGCCUGUCCAGACGGUCCGCCUUAAUUGGUGUGUACUGUCCUUGGGUGGGUCCUACCUUCUGGCGAAGCGGCAUGGCCUUAAUUGGUUGUGUCGGGGAACCAGGACUUUUACUGUGAAAAAAUUAGAGUGUUCAAAGCAGGCAAAUAUGCUCGAAUACAUUAGCAUGGAAUAAUGGAAUAGGACGAUGGUUCUAUUUUGUUGGUUCUAGGACCGUUGUAAUGAUUAAUAGGGAUAGUUGGGGGCAUUAGUAUUCAAUUGUCAGAGGUGAAAUUCUUGGAUUUAUUGAAGACUAACUACUGCGAAAGCAUUUGCCAAGGAUGUUUUCAUUAAUCAAGAACGAAAGUUAAGGGGAUCGAAGACGAUCAGAUACCGUCGUAGUCUUAACCAUAAACUAUGCCGACUAGGAAUCGGGCGAUGUUGACAAAAUGACUCGCUCGGCACCUA